rnacentral:rRNA from 1 species
UACAGAGGGUGCGAGCGUUGUCCGGAAUCACUGGGCGUAAAGGGCGCGUAGGUGGCGACCCAAGUCGAUGGUGAAAGCUCGCCGCUUAACGGCGAGUCGGCCACCGAUACUGGGUUGCUCGAGCACUGUAGAGGCAGAUGGAAUUCCGGGUGUAGCGGUGGAAUGCGUAGAGAUCCGGAAGAACACCGGUGGCGAAGGCGGUCUGCUGGGCAGUUGCUGACACUGAGGCGCGACAGCGUGGGGAGCAAACAGG